rnacentral:rRNA from 1 species
CGAGCGGUAGCACAAGGGAGCUUGCUCCCUGGGUGACGAGCGGCGGACGGGUGAGUAAUGUCUGGGAAACUGCCUGAUGGAGGGGGAUAACUACUGGAAACGGUAGCUAAUACCGCAUAACGUCGCAAGACCAAAGAGGGGGACCUUCGGGCCUCUUGCCAUCAGAUGUGCCCAGAUGGGAUUAGCUAGUAGGUGGGGUAAUGGCUCACCUAGGCGACGAUCCCUAGCUGGUCUGAGAGGAUGACCAGCCACACUGGAACUGAGACACGGUCCAGACUCCUACGGGAGGCAGCAGUGGGGAAUAUUGCACAAUGGGCGCAAGCCUGAUGCAGCCAUGCCGCGUGUGUGAAGAAGGCCUUCGGGUUGUAAAGCACUUUCAGCGAGGAGGAAGGUGGUGAGCUUAAUACGUUCAUCAAUUGACGUUACUCGCAGAAGAAGCACCGGCUAACUCCGUGCCAGCAGCCGCGGUAAUACGGAGGGUGCAAGCGUUAAUCGGAAUUACUGGGCGUAAAGCGCACGCAGGCGGUUUGUUAAGUCAGAUGUGAAAUCCCCGGGCUCAACCUGGGAACUGCAUUUGAAACUGGCAAGCUAGAGUCUCGUAGAGGGGGGUAGAAUUCCAGGUGUAGCGGUGAAAUGCGUAGAGAUCUGGAGGAAUACCGGUGGCGAAGGCGGCCCCCUGGACGAAGACU